GGACACAGCGGGAAAGGAAGAGAGAGUGCCGAAGCCGUGGCUGGUGUCACGAGCGCCAGGUAUGCCGAAACGGCAAUUAUUUUGUGUGAAAGGGAAUGAGCUGUGGGAGGGGCCCCAACCUAUAGGGAAUGAGCUGUGGGAGGGGCCCCAUAGCUAUGGGAGGGGCCCCAACCUUUGCCGAAAGGUGUGCUGAGUGACGCGCGCGAUUUGGAGGGGAGUGCAUGAGCGUGUGACUGAGUGAUCUUUCUCUUUCGAACUAAGCGUGCAAGCGAUCUACCGUAUGCUGUUUCCCGAUUCUGCAUGGCUGUAAAAGCUUUU
rnacentral:lncRNA from 1 species